rnacentral:rRNA from 1 species
AGUUUGGUUUGCUUGCAAACCAAAGCUGGCGACCGGCGCACGGGUGAGUAACACGUAUCCAACCUGCCUCAUACUCGGGGAUAGCCUUUCGAAAGAAAGAUUAAUAUCCGAUAGCAUAUAUUUCCCGCAUGGGUUUUAUAUUAAAGAAAUUCGGUAUGAGAUGGGGAUGCGUUCCAUUAGUUUGUUGGCGGGGUAACGGCCCACCAAGACUACGAUGGAUAGGGGUUCUGAGAGGAAGGUCCCCCACAUUGGAACUGAGACACGGUCCAAACUCCUACGGGAGGCAGCAGUGAGGAAUAUUGGUCAAUGGACGCGAGUCUGAACCAGCCAAGUAGCGUGAAGGAUGACUGCCCUAUGGGUUGUAAACUUCUUUUAUAUGGGAAUAAAGUGGUCCACGUGUGGAUUUUUGUAUGUACCAUAUGAAUAAGGAUCGGCUAACUCCGUGCCAGCAGCCGCGGUAAUACGGAGGAUCCGAGCGUUAUCCGGAUUUAUUGGGUUUAAAGGGAGCGUAGGCGGAUUGUUAAGUCAGUUGUGAAAGUUUGCGGCUCAACCGUAAAAUUGCAGUUGAUACUGGCAGUCUUGAGUGCAGUAGAGGUGGGCGGAAUUCGUGGUGUAGCGGUGAAAUG